rnacentral:sRNA from 1 species
UGUUACGUUACUGCGGCACUGACACGUAA